GAAGGGCUGUAGCUUAGUGGGAAGGGAGUCUGCCUGGCAUGCAGAAGGUCCCAGGUUCCAUUCCCAGCAUCUUCA